rnacentral:rRNA from 1 species
GAUGAACGCUGGCGGCGUGCCUAAUACAUGCAAGUCGAGCGAACGGACGAGAAGCUUGCUUCUCUGAUGUUAGCGGCGGACGGGUGAGUAACACGUGGAUAACCUACCUAUAAGACUGGGAUAACUUCGGGAAACCGGAGCUAAUACCGGAUAAUAUUUUGAACCGCAUGGUUCAAAAGUGAAAGACGGUCUUGCUGUCACUUAUAGAUGGAUCCGCGCUGCAUUAGCUAGUUGGUAAGGUAACGGCUUACCAAGGCAACGAUGCAUAGCCGACCUGAGAGGGUGAUCGGCCACACUGGAACUGAGACACGGUCCAGACUCCUACGGGAGGCAGCAGUAGGGAAUCUUCCGCAAUGGGCGAAAGCCUGACGGAGCAACGCCGCGUGAGUGAUGAAGGUCUUCGGACCGUAAAACUCUGUUAUUAGGGAAGAACAUAUGUGUAAGUAACUGUGCACAUCUUGACGGUACCUAAUCAGAAAGCCACGGCUAACUACGUG